UUGAUUUUAGUUAUUUGUGAACGUACUACGAACAAACGAAAAAAUAUUAUAGUCAAAAAAAAUUAAAUCA
rnacentral:misc_RNA from 1 species